rnacentral:rRNA from 1 species
UACGUAGGAUGCAAGCGUUGUCCGGAAUUAUUGGGCGUAAAGAGCUCGUAGGUGGUUCGUUAAGUCUGAUGUGAAAGCCCUGGGCUCAACCUGGGAAUGGCAUUGGAAACUGGCGAUCUAGAGUGCGGUAGAGGGUAGUGGAAUUCCCGGUGUAGCAGUGAAAUGCGUAGAGAUCGGGAGGAACAUCUGUGGCGAAGGCGACUGCCUGGACCAGCACUGACACUGAGGCACGAAAGCGUGGGGAGCAAACAGG